GGAGGGCUGCAGGCUACACAUGCAGUCGAGCGGAGAUGAGGUGCUUGCACCUUAUCUUAGCGGCGGACGGGUGAGUAAUGCUUAGGAAUCUGCCUAUUAGUGGGGGACAACAUUCCGAAAGGAAUGCUAAUACCGCAUACGUCCUACGGGAGAAAGCAGGGGAUCUUCGGACCUUGCGCUAAUAGAUGAGCCUAAGUCGGAUUAGCUAGUUGGUGGGGUAAAGGCCUACCAAGGCGACGAUCUGUAGCGGGUCUGAGAGGAUGAUCCGCCACACUGGGACUGAGACACGGCCCAGACUCCUACGGGAGGCAGCAGUGGGGAAUAUUGGACAAUGGGGGGAACCCUGAUCCAGCCAUGCCGCGUGUGUGAAGAAGGCCUUAUGGUUGUAAAGCACUUUAAGCGAGGAGGAGGCUACUGAGACUAAUACUCUUGGAUAGUGGACGUUACUCGCAGAAUAAGCACCGGCUAACUCUGUGCCAGCAGCCGCGGUAAUACAGAGGGUGCGAGCGUUAAUCGGAUUUACUGGGCGUAAAGCGUGCGUAGGCGGCUUUUUAAGUCGGAUGUGAAAUCCCCGAGCUUAACUUGGGAAUUGCAUUCGAUACUGGGAAGCUAGAGUAUGGGAGAGGAUGGUAGAAUUCCAGGUGUAGCGGUGAAAUGCGUAGAGAUCUGGAGGAAUACCGAUGGCGAAGGCAGCCAUCUGGCCUAAUACUGACGCUGAGGUACGAAAGCAUGGGGAGCAAACAGGAUUAGAUACCCUGGUAGUCCAUGCCGUAAACGAUGUCUACUAGCCGUUGGGGCCUUUGAGGCUUUAGUGGCGCAGCUAACGCGAUAAGUAGACCGCCUGGGGAGUACGGUCGCAAGACUAAAACUCAAAUGAAUUGACGGGGGCCCGCACAAGCGGUGGAGCAUGUGGUUUAAUUCGAUGCAACGCGGAAGAACCU
rnacentral:rRNA from 1 species